rnacentral:snRNA from 1 species
CUUCUGGUGACGCCUCGCUCGCCUGAGA